GGAUGUGAGGGCAAUCUUGUCUGUGACAUGUCACCCCACUGAUUGCCAGGGUUGAUUUGGCUCAUCUGGCUGGCUAGACAGGUGUCCCCUUCCUCCCUCACCGCUCCAUGUCUGUCCCUCCGGAAGCUGCACACUGGGUUGAGGAGGAUGACCUUUCCGGAAUAGAGACUGAUCAAGAGCAUAUGAGCAGCUGCGCUCCCCUGCUAGAACCUCCGAACAAACUCUCAGAUUCUCCAGUUUUCGCUACCUUUACACUACUGGGCAAUCUACUUUUGUAAGGACAGCUGGGGGUGGGCAGGCAGUCGUGCAC
rnacentral:snRNA from 1 species